rnacentral:rRNA from 1 species
GUCGACGGCAGCACGGGAGCAAUCCUGGUGGCGAGUGGCGAACGGGUGAGUAAUAUAUCGGAACGUGCCCAGUCGUGGGGGAUAACGUAGCGAAAGCUACGCUAAUACCGCAUACGAUCUAUGGAUGAAAGCGGGGGAUCGCAAGACCUCGCGCGAUUGGAGCGGCCGAUAUCAGAUUAGGUAGUUGGUGGGAUAAAAGCUUACCAAGCCGACGAUCUGUAGCUGGUCUGAGAGGACGACCAGCCACACUGGGACUGAGACACGGCCCAGACUCCUACGGGAGGCAGCAGUGGGGAAUUUUGGACAAUGGGCGAAAGCCUGAUCCAGCCAUGCCGCGUGCAGGAUGAAGGCCUUCGGGUUGUAAACUGCUUUUGUACGGAACGAAAAGGUCUUUUCUAAUAAAGAAGGCUCAUGACGGUACCGUAAGAAUAAGCACCGGCUAACUACGUGCCAGCAGCCGCGGUAAUACGUAGGGUGCAAGCGUUAAUCGGAAUUACUGGGCGUAAAGCGUGCGCAGGCGGUUAUAUAAGACAGAUGUGAAAUCCCCGGGCUCAACCUGGGAACUGCAUUAGUGACUGUAUAGCUAGAGUGCGGCAGAGGGGGAUGGAAUUCCGCGUGUAGCAGUGAAAUGCGUAGAUAUGCGGAGGAACACCGAUGGCGAAGGCAAUCCCCUGGGCCUGCACUGACGCUCAUGCA